UUCUUCGAUCAAUGACCACAGAGCAUCCUCUUCUUCUCCUCUACACAGUAGAGCGUCGACGACCAUGUGCAGAGAGCAAAUCAGGAGGGAUGAUCUGGAGUCUCUUGGCUAUAUGAUUAUGUAUUUUCUUCAAGGAAGCUCCAUCAGGUUGUGGACUCUAAGUGGCGAAGUUCUAAGUCACGACUCUUCACCAAGGUGGUUUGUUUGGUACAGUGGAGUACCA